rnacentral:rRNA from 1 species
UACGUAGGCAGCAAGCGUUGUUCGGAAUUACUGGGCGUAAAGAGUGUGUAGGCGGUGCUCUAAGUUCGGUGUGAAAUCUCCCGGCUUAACUGGGAGGGUGCGCCGGAAACUGGAGUGCUUGAGCGCGGGAGAGGAAAGCGGAAUUCCUGGUGUAGCGGUGAAAUGCGUAGAUAUCAGGAGGAACACCUGUGGUGUAGACGGCUUUCCGGACCGUAGCUGACGCUGAGACACGAAAGCUAGGGGAGCAAACAGG